rnacentral:rRNA from 1 species
CCCGAGAGAUCGGGCGUUCCCCUCGGGGGACAGGGUGACAGGUGGUGCAUGGUUGUCGUCAGCUCGUGUCGUGAGAUGUUGGGUUAAGUCCCGCAACGAGCGCAACCCUCGACCUUAGUUGCCAGCAUUCAGUUGGGCACUCUAAGGUGACUGCCGGCUAAAAGUCGGAGGAAGUGGGGAUGACGUCAAAUCAUCAUGCCCCUUAUGGCCUGGGCUACACACGUGCUACAAUGGGCGGUACAAAGGGUCGCGAACCCGCGAGGGGGAGCCAAUCCCAAAAAGCCGCACUCAGUUCGGAUUGCAGGCUGCAACUCGCCUGCAUGAAGCCGGAAUCGCUAGUAAUCGCGGAUCAGCAUGCCGCGGUCGAAUACGUUCCCGGGCCUU